UAAACAGUGUAAUUUUUAAAAAAGUCACAGAAGAAUGUGGAGACACUUAGUAAACCUGACUCUCAUAAGAUUCCCUAUUUUGUCAGUAAGGAAGUAAACAAGUAAACAACCGCUAAAACAACUCUCUAACAACAGCAGACCCUCAUGAGAACACUAGGCAGCAGAAGCUUCUUUAGCAGUAAAAGACAUAUGGAUAUUCAUAUUUUGUUCCAUGAUCUUUAACAUUAAAUAAAUAAACUUAAUAUUUAAGUCUC